ensembl:snoRNA LOC120096787 small nucleolar RNA SNORA13
AGCUCUGAGUGCCUGCAAAAAGAAACAGGAGAUGUGGUGUCAAAAAAGGCAUAAGUUAAUGCUUUGCGGCUUUUCCUUUCCCUGGAGUUUGGUAUCUUGGGUUUCAGGAGCUGCAUAAGUAACAGAA